UGAUCGUAGGAAAGUCAGAUUCAUUUGAAGAGUUGGCAGUGGGAAGAGAUGCAGUGAUGCUUCCUCAUCCUCGUUGUGGUUCGAUUACAGCGUCUACACCUAAGCAAUGGAUUGACUUUUUAUUUGCGAAGCUGCAAAACCAUAACCUCAAUUUAAGGCUUUUUGGUAAGAAUACAUAUUUCCUUUAGUUAUUUCUAUUUUAAUAUUCUAUUUAAUUUAAGAGAUUAAAUAUCAUCUUUAAUUAUUACAUUUUUCUUAUUUAAUCUAAAAAAAUAAAUAUUAUCUUUAACAAUAUUUUUUAUUAAAUAUUUAGAGUCUGCUUGGUUUUAAUUAUUUCUUUUCUUGAUUUUAUGAUAAUAUUUUUCUUAUUUAAUAUAAAAAAUAAAUAUUAUCUUUAAUAAUUAGAUCUAUCGAAUAUCACUUAAAAAAUAAAUUAUAGCUUUAAUAAUUAUUUUUUGAAAAACAAAAGCCAACAAUCACUAACAUAUUUUAUUAAAAUCACUUUAGUUUAUUUAGAAAAUAUUGAAAAUUGAUUUUUGUUUUUUUACUUCAAAAUAAAAAAAAUUGAAUAAUGUUUUUAUAUUUUAUUUCGAACUCGAUAUUUUAAAACAAAAAUGAAAAAGAUGUGAUAUUAACCUUUUUUAUUAUAAAGUAAGUUUCUUAAUUAAAAGUGAUGGGAAUUUGUUUGUAAAAACAAUCUUGCACAUCUAACUUUCUUUUCAAAUUUGAAAAUUUUAUUAACUUUGAUGGUUUUAUAUGUAUGAAGGAUCUGGAUGGACGUAAUAGCACAAGAUCAUUUGACAUAGAGAUGCUUGAAGUUACUCCAAAUUAGUACGGUACUUUUAUCUAAUGUAUUGAUAUGUAUUUGUUGGCUUGAAGAUCAUUUUCCAAGCUUGGAAUUUUUAUUGAAUGCUCUUUGAAAUCUUUUCCAUUUGCUUUUAUAGUGGACAACCUAGUUGUUAAUUAUUAUCCAUGAUCUAAUUUAUAUUUUCAAGUUAAAAAUUUUGAUGAAUAUUAUUUCAUUUUUUUCCUCACUUCAAAAGAUGAAAAUCCUUGAUGUUAGUUAGUAAUAAAUUGGAGAGAAUAAUAAUAAUUUGUGUGUAUAAGCUGAUUGAAAUGAAGAUUAAAAUAAAGAAGUAAAAAAAAAGAGACUCGUAAAGAUUUUAUGUUAGUACUCAACAUGUCCUUUCUUGUUUUUUUUUUAAUUGGAUUACCUUUGUCUUUGGUUAAACUGCACUUCUUAAAAUAUUUUUGGAUUGUUCUGAUAUCAAAAAUAAUUUUUUUUAAAUAUUAUUUUAAUACAUUUUCAAUUAAAAAAUAUUUUGAAAAACAAUAUCUAACACACUCUCAAACAAGUUAAAACGUUAGUAAUAAAAUAACUUUUACAUAUUUUUCAAGUUUAGUAGAAUAGUAGUGGAAUAAUAUUUUUAAUAUUUAAAAAUUAAAAUUUUUUGUGUAACUGUUUUGUUAAAUUAUAAAGUUAAGGACUCUUUUGUAGUUUACCUUACACUAAAGUUAAUAAAUAAUAACACAAGAAAGGACCAAAGUUAACUACAAUACGAGGAAGUUUCAUACUAAAGUUAAAAUACCUCACACUUUUCAAUGAAACAUUACCUCUCCUGUACAUGAAUAUAAAUAAUUUCGUUGACCGACUCUUAUUUCAUUAAUUAUUGAUUAUUUGGAAGAAGAAAGCGUAUCCCUUCUCACUUUUAGAGCGUAUUUAGGGUAUUUAAGAGCGCAUUAUAAAUCCAGGGACAAUUUUGGGUUUUCUAAUCAGAACUUUGGACUAAAAUUAAUAGCAAAUUAAAUAAGGACCAAAUAUAACAGUGUGUAAAUCUAGAAACCAAAGAUAAUACAGCUGCAUUGACCGGAGAUUUCACUCGAAUUUUGACUAAAAAUUAAAAUUUUAUCAAAUUCUCUACUUUAUUAGUGUUCAUUUUCUUCUUUUUUUUUACCUAUCUUUUCCAACUGUUUAGAAAAUUUUUAUGGAUAAAAUUAGAGGAUAAGAAAGAGAUAUAGAAUCACUUUGUAAGAUUUCUAAAAACUUAAUUAUAUUAUAAUUUCUUCCUUAAAAUUAUUCAAAAUAUAGUAUUAGAAUUACAUAAUGCUAGGUUUUAAUAUAUAAUUAAAGAGUCUCUUCUAAAAGAAAUAAUGAAAAUAUUGUAUAACUCUUUUAGAAUGAAUUGUAAAUCCAGGGACAGUCUUCCUGGUGGUUUUUACUGUAUAUGAAUUGAAGAACUAUCAUUUGCUGAUUUACUUGUAAAGUAUUUGUAAGAAAGCUAAAAAUUAGAGUUUUAAAAUUUCUAAAAUAAAUAAUCUUCUCUAAAAUAAGUUUUUUUUAAUUAUACUUAUAAAAUUAAUUAAAUCUCAGGAUAAUAAGAUAUGUCCGGAUAUUUGGCGACUGANNNNNNNNNNNNNNNNNNNNNNNNNNNNNNNNNNNNNNNNNNNNNNNNNNNNNNNNNNNNNNNNNNNNNNNNNNNNNNNNNNNNNNNNNNNNNNNNNNNNGUAUGUUACAAAUUAAAUAUUAGUAUAUUUUUUUCAAGGUGAUAUCUCUUAUUAAAUCAGAGAUUCUCUCUAUUUUUUACAUGCAAUAUAAUCACGGAAUAAUUAAAUAAUUUGAAAAAUAAAUAAAUUUUUAUUGUGGAAUAAGUAAAUACUAAUAUCUAUAACUAGAAGUAACUAUAAUUAUAAUAUUAAAAAAAAGCAUAAUAAAAUGAAUUUAUUUAUAAAUUAGAUAAGAUUCAAACCAAGGGAAUUAAAGUGUAAAAUAAGGAAAACACCCUUGCCAGUCUAAAAUAAUUGAAGUAAUGAGUAAAUGCAUGAAGCAAGAUAAUUAGUUGAUAUUGUGACUAUUCAAGAUAAUUAUAAUCUAUAGGUAAUUGUAUACUAUAAAUUAAUAUCAACAAAAUAAUUGUAUUUAAUUGUUUGAAGUUAAACAAAAAAACAUACAUUCUCCCUUUCCCUUCUUUACAUGGCUUACUCAAUGAAAAAGCAAGCACUAACGCACCUUCUCCACAAACUACCAUAAAUAUAUAAAUAUAUUAUGAAAACAAGAUAAAAAGAAAUCUUUUGGUACAUAUAUAAAUAUAUUAUGGCUAUGAAAAUAGGUUUGUGGAAAUUUACAUCAUUUGAUCUUGACAGUGUCAGAUUAGACAAUUGAUUGCAUGGAAAUGGUCUUCUUAGUUUGCCGUGUGGAAAAUCAUCUCAUUUACGGGACUGCUGGAGAGAGUGUCUAUUGAUAAUUUUACCUUCUUUUCAAAUCUUUGACACUGCUUGGAUUGACCGGUAAUUUCACUCGAAAAUUUCUAGUAAUUUAUAAAGGAAAUUUCUACUGACUAUUAUUGACUGACUUCUUGCAAAGUAUUUGUAAGAAAGCUAAAGAAUUAAAGUUUUUUAAUUUUUAAAAUUGUAAGAAAAAAAUCAAUUAUUUUUAAAAUUGUUUUCAAAAAUAAAACAUCAACUAUUUAUAUAAUUGCUAAAUCUAUUAAGAUAAAUCCAAAAUAACUAGUAAAAUCAGUGACUUGCAUUGACGAGUGUAAUGAUCUUGACAGCAUCAGAUUAGACAAUUGCAUGGAAAUGGUCUUCUUAGUUUGCCGUGUGGAAAAUCAUGUGAUUUACGGGACUGCUGGAGAGAGUGUCUAUUGAUAAUUUUACCUUCUUUUCAAAUCUUUGACACUGCUUGGAUUGACCGGUAAUUUCGCUCGAAAAUUUCUAGUAAUUUAUAAAGGAAAUUUCUACUGACUAUUAUUGACUGACUUCUUGCAAAGUAUUUGUAAGAAAGCUAAAGAAUUAAAGUUUUUUAAUUUUUAAAAUUGUAAGAAAAAAAUCAAUUAUUUUUAAAAUUGUUUUCAAAAAUAAAACACCAACUAUUUAUAUAAUAGCUAAAUCUAUUAAGAUAAAUCCAAAAUAACUAGUAAAAUCAGUGACUUGCAUUGACGAGUGUAAUGAUCCGGAACCACUCGCAAUAAAUAAAGCCAAAAAAGGCAGACGAGUGUGUCUAUAUAUACAUAUAGGAACCGCUGAUUCGAUUUGAAUAUGUUAUUUGAUUAGUCUAAUUCAUGACUUGCAUUGACUCAAGAUUACCACUCAAGAUUUCGUGGUGCUUUCUCGGCCUGCAAAUGAAUAGAAAGCAUGUCCUUUUAACCUCAUUUCAAUAUCGUUGCUUUACUCUCCAGCUAGCCUGAUACAUAUGAGUCUCGAGACAUACGGCCAUUGAUAGAAAGGUGUGCUGAAGCAAAAUAUUUUUUUAUCUGUAGCGACCUCAAUAAUGUUAAAGCGUGGACCACCAUGAAAUUACCGCUCCAAAUUCCUUGUUCUUUCUAUAUUAUUAGAAAAAUUAUCAUUGACUAAUUUAAUUGGAAAUUAUUUGCGAGAAAGCUAAAAAGAAUUAAAGUUUUUUAAUUUAUAAAAUUAUAAUUUUAAAUUGUAAAAAAAUUCAAUUAUUUUAAAAAAUAAAACAUCAACUAUUUAUAUAAUAGCUAAAUAAAUCUAUUAAAAUAAAUUGAAAAUAACUAGUAAAAUCAAGCAAAUAAUCCAAAAAUAACAAGAAAAUAAAUAUAUUUCCUAGAUCUAAUUUGAUUAUAUUUUUUAUCUUGAUUGACUUACUUGCUAAGUCUUUGAACUUUAAUCUAAGAAUUUGUUUUAUAUUUCUUCAUUUAUUAAUGAAAUAUUACUUCUAUUGUAUAGUUUUUGGUUUCGAGUCGAUCCACCAGAUUAAUAGGUGAACAAUACAUUUUUUGAAUUUAUUAGAAGAAACGUGUAAUGUAAAUUAUAAAAUAAUAUUUAUUUUUCUGAUAUAUAUAAUAAUAAUAAAUUAGAUGACAGUUACAAGAAAAUAAAAAUUAAUUUGAAUAGAUGGUACGAGUUUCUAUUCUGAUAUAUCCAGGGAAGAAGUUCGAAGAAUAGAAUGAAGUUAAAUAUUCUUAAUAAAAAAAGAAAAAAAAAAGAAAAAAAAUAUAUUUUUAAUAAAUAUAAAAGAUGGAUAAAAUUAGAGAACAAGAAAGAGAUAUAUAAUCUCUUUGUAAGAACUUCUAAAAAUUUAAUUACAAUUGAGAAUUUCUUCCUUAAAAAAAUCCAAAAAAAUCCUAUUAUAUAUGAAUCAAGACAACAGUUGAAUAACUAUUACAUAUUUUUCAAGUUUACUUAGAAUAAUUAUUUUAAUAUUUAAAAAUUAAAAAAAUACUGUGUAGUUGUUUUGUAUAAAUUCUAAAGUUGAGAACUCUUUUGUGCUUGGUAAAAUGAAUAACUUUUACAUAUUCUUCAAUGUUUCACACUGCUUUAAUAGAUUGGUACAGUAAAUACCUCACACUACAGUUAAUAAAUAAUAACACAAGAAAGGACCAAAGUAUAUAAAUAAUAGCAUGUUUCACACUGCUUUAAUAGAUUGUUACAGUAAAAGCACAAAGAAGAACGGUUCAAGAUGUGGUAGAAUCACCUUCGAAGUGACUAAAUCUGCUUUAAUAUAUUUGAGAUUCACGCAAUGCCACUCUCAUCGGUAUUCUAAAAGCGAAGAGAAGAGUAGAAGCAAUGUGAUAGCUAUACAGGUGAGACUUAAUAAUUUACAGGUGAUAAUUGUUUUUUAAAAUAUUUUUUUUAUUUGAAAAUGUAUUAAUUUAAUGUAAAAUAAUAAAUAAAAUUUAAUUUUUUUUAAUUGUUUUUUAAAAUAUAAAAACAAAGAGGAUAUAAUCAACCUCUUGAUGUCACUAUUAAUUAUUGAUGUCGAUUGAUGCACAUGCUAACACCAGCGAAGAAUUAAGAGGCCAAUAUGCCAUUUGAUGCGAUAUUGCAAUUCAACAGCCAAGACACCACGGCUGAUAGAUGUAGACAGCGGUAAUGAACAGGAAAAGUUAAAAAAAUUAAAAUAUUUCAUGUCUUCACAGUCGUUUAGAAAAGAAACAAGAUCAAACCUUGGUUUCAUUUUGUCAGUUGACUCCAAGUCAAUGUCUAAAUCUCCUCUAAAUUCCAAACUGGGUCACCCAGCGAAUUAAGGUAUAGAUUUUAUUGGACGACAAUCAUAUUAAUAAAUAUGGGACGACAAAUCACAAACAUAAUCAAUUCAACCGUACUCCAAAGAACACUCAUACUCCAAUAUCAGCAACCACCACGAAGGUUGAAUUACACUACUUGUUAAAUUAAUAAAGUUACUAGUUGCUAUAAAGUAAGAGAUAAGAAAAUAUUGUGUUUUAAAAUAUUUUUGUUUUAAAAUAAUAUUUUUUUAUUUUUAAAAUUUAUUUUUAAUAUUAUUACAUCAAAACUAUAUAAAAAAAAUAUUUCAGAUUAUCAAUUCAACCGUUCUCCAAAGAACACUCAUACUCCAAUACCAGCAACCACUACGAAAGUUACCACUCUAAAUUCCAGCUCAAUAAUUUAUUCUUUGACAAUUAUUGCAUUGCUAAUAAUUUGCAAGGAAACAUACUUUUAACUAUAUUCAAUUCCAGAAUAUUUUUUUUUGAUAAAUAUUUGAGAAAUAUUGAUAAUCUUUUAUCAAGUUUUAUUUUUAUCAUUUUUAUUUGGAAUUAAUUCUAUUAUGUAUUUAAAUGUGUUUAGUUACCUUGUAAACUGUAUGUUAGAGUCCCUCAAAUAUUCUGGCCACAUCAACCACUAUAUUUUAUGCCAAGCAGUAUUUUGUCCUUGAACCCUUUGGCCCUCUAAAUUACCCAAAAAGGACAAUAAUUGAGCACAAGUGGUACAGGUCAGGGUUAAACUCAGCUUGCUAGAGCCAGUUCUCAAUUUUAGGCGCCAGUUCUCAAUUUUAGGCACCAGUUCUCAAUCGAAUUUUAGCAAAAUCUGGGCUAGGAUUUGAAACAAAUGUAGCUAUUUUUUCUCCUUUUAUUAUUAAAAAAUAAUAUUCAUGGAUUAAUUUUCGUAUAAUUUAAGAAAGUAAGUCCUUUAAUCAAAUUUUAGAGUGUUGCAAUUACUACGAAAGGAACGCAAAAAGACAUAAAGUUUUUCGAAGAGAGAAAUAAAAAGGAAAAGGAAAAGGAAACAACCCCCACUCCAUCUUUCCCUUCUUUCCAUGAAAAUCAAUUUUAGGAUUUUGAUUUUCAAUCAGUAUGAGUGAGAAAGAAAGAGAGGACAAGCCGACACUUCAAAGGUCCUCUUUCUCUUUCCUUGCUUUUUUUAACGCGUGGAGCCAGCAGUUGUUGCCACCAAAUUCCUUGCUCAGUAUUUGAAAAUUUUCCUAAUUUUUUUUCCUCUACGUGCUGUUACCUUUUACCUCUUUUAUAAUUAUUAUGAUUAUUGCAUUGCUAAUAAUUUGCAAUAAAGAUGAUGAACAUUUUUUAGUCAAUUCAAAAUAACAAGAUAAGGUUUGUUCAGGCUUUUCUUGGAACCUCGCUCAGGGAUUAGUUAGCGAGAAUAAGAAAAUGCUGUCCAAAUUAUACAAAAUUUAUUAUUAAUCAUCAAUAUUUAUUCUUGAUCAUCAAUAUUGAAUAAAGGCUUAUUUUCUAGUAUAAACUUUGAUGAGAUUGUUUAUAAAAAUAACCAAAUUGAGGUUUUUCAAUUACCUUUAAAUAUAUCAUAGUUUUAAUAGGCACACAGUAUAUUUUUUAAUUUAUUAGAAAAAACAUGUAAUGUAAAUUAUAAAAAAUAUUUAUUUUUCUGAUAUACAUAGUAAUAAUAAAUUAGAUGAUAGUAACUAGAAAAUAGAAAUUAGUUUAAAUAAGUGGUACCAAUUUCUAUUCUAUAUAUCUACGGAAGAAGUUCAAAGAAUAGAAUGAAAUCAAAUAUUCUUAAUAAAAGAGGAAAAAAAACACAAAAAGAAAUAAAAUAUGUUUUUAAUAAAUAUAAAAUAUGGAUAAAAUUAUAGAACAAGAAAGAGAAGUUAGAUACCUCAAAUUUUAGUAAGGAUCCAAUUGGAUUGUUUAAAAGAGGAGAAACUGUCAUUGACUGAUUUAAUUGGAAAGUAUUUACAAGAAAGCUAAAAGAAUUAAAGUUUUUUAAUUUUAAAAUUAUAAUUUAAAAUGGCAAGAAAAAAAUCAAUUAUUUUUAAAAUUGUUUUAAAAAAUAAAACAUCAACAAUUUUAUAAUAGCUAAAUAAAUCUAUUAAAAUAAAUUGAGAAUAACUAGUAAAAUCAAGCAAAUAAUUCAAAACCAACAAGAAAAUAAAUAUAUUUUCUAAAUCGGGUUUGAGUAUGUUUUCUAUCUUGAUUGACUGGCUAACUUGAUAAGUCUUUAUUAAGUGUAAAUCAACUUUAUUCUAAAAGUCUGUUUGAUAUUUUUUUAUUUAUUAAUGAAAUAUUAUUUUUACUAUACAGUUAUUAGAUCCCAGGCUAAUCUACUGGGUCGGUUUAAAUUUAAUAACUAUGGUUCAUAGUCAUAUAGCUAGUAGUUGCACUAAAGCUAAUAAUUUAAAAAAAAUUAAAUAUCAAUAAUUUUUGUUGGCAUCAAAUAAUUAAAAAUGAGAAUUUCAGAGCAGAGGGUUUAAGAAAUAUUAAAAUAGAAGGUUUUGUGUAAUUAUUAGAUAAUUGAAAUCAUCACUAAUCUCCUUUGUUCAUUUUCCUUUUUUAUUACCCUUACCAUGCACAAAACUUCAUGUCACUUAAUGAUACACUUGCUUUCAACGUUUAAACUGUUAAAGAAUAAUAUAAAUUAUAUUAUGAGAUCUUACCUAACAGCUUAAGUUAUUGGGUUGAGAUGGUUCUUUGAUAUGGUAUCAGAGCCUUGAUGAUCAAGCGGUCACGAGUUCGAAUCUCACCAUCUCUAUUUAUUUGAUAAAAAUUAAGCACAAAGUAAUGUGGAUUUGUGCAAGUUUUAAGCCCAAAUGGCUUUCACUUGAGGGAGUGUGUUAAAGAAUAAUAUAAAUCAUAUCCUGGGACCUUACCUAACAGCUUAAGUUAUUGGGUUGGGAUGGUUCUUUGAUAUAAUAGCAACCAUCAUGAAAUUACAACACUAAAUUUAUUCUUUAGCAAUUAUAUAAUGCUCGCUCUUUCACAGUUAUUGCAUUUCUAAUAAUUUGCAAGAAAAUUAACAUUCUUUGUCUCUCAAUCUGCACCUACCAUGAAAUUAACAUCCUUUCUCGACAUUUCCUAGCAAUUUAUGGAGGAAAUUUCCUUGUGCCCUCUCUUAUACAUUAUUACAAAAACUGUCAUUGAUUGAUUGACUUGCAAAAGUAUUUGCAAGAAACCUAAUGAAUUAGAGUUUUUAAAAUUUUUAAAUUAUUAAAAACAUCCAAUUGUUUUUUUUUUAAAUCAAGAAUAAAACAUCAACUAUUUAUAUAAUUACUAAAUAAAUCUAAUAAAAUAAAUUGGAAAUAACUAGUAAAUAAUUCAAAAAUAACUAGAAAAUAAAUAUAUUUUCUAUGAUUUGAGUAUGUUUUUGAUUCACUAAUUUGCUAAGUAUUUGCUAAGCAUAACCGAAAGAAAUUAUUUGCUAAUCACUCACUAAUUCAUCCAUGAUAUGUUCAAAAAAAUGGGUUAAAAAUUGGGUAACAACACCAUAUCUAUUUUAUUGAAAACCCGGGCCUGUAAUUGACCGGAAGAAAACCGAUCAACCCACUAAGUAGAUCUGGAACCUUGAUGACCCAACAAAACCUGGUAGAAAUUCAUUUUUUUUUCAAAUGUAUUUUUUCUUCUAGCUAGAGACCUCUAUUUUUUAUAUAUUUUUCAGUUGGUUACUAACCCAUUUCAAAGUUUACUAUAUAAAUAUUAGAAGAAUGUUUUAUUUUUUUAAUGUGGGAUUUGAAACCUUUUAGUAUAUAUACUCUUUGUUUACUAAAAAAAAAAUUAUGUUUUUUUAAUAUGAAAUAAAAAACCUUUUUGAUUUAAAUACUUCAACUCAAAAAAAUAAGAUAGUAUCUUUUUAAUGUGGAAUAAAAAAAACCAUUUGAAAUAAUCUUUUAAACUUCAUUAUUUAUAACAUGUAUAACUUAUAUCUUUCUUAAUUUUUUCAUAUGAAAUAUUAAAACCUUUAAUAUUUUUUUUUUCUUGGUUGACUUGGAUCAAUCCUUGUAACUCGAGACUCAGCUCCUUGAUUGAGUCGAUCUCGAGUCGGGUUUGAUAAUUAUGAAAAUAUUUAAUGAAAAAAUAUAUUUUUUUUGUAUAAAAAUGAAGGGUAAAAUAUUAAAUUAUGACAUAUAUCAUUAAUUAUUGACAUACUCUUGUAACAAGCAUGAAACUUUAUGUUAUUUCAUGAUACCCAUGUUUUUAACGCUUUACACCGCUUUAAUAAAUUGUUACAGUAAUAGCACAGAGAGAAGAACGGAUCAAGAGAAAAUAAUAAUGUAACCAUCUAGAAAGUGAUGCAAUGAUAAGAAUUUGGAACUAAAGAGUUUGUUUUUUUUUUUUUUUUCAGGUUCGAGUUUUGUGGUUGCUAAUAUAAUAGUUACUGGAGAUUUACAUGAUCGUUAACUUUAGGACUCGUAAGAUUAGUUUCGAGUUUUGUGGUUGCUAAUAUAAUAGUUACUGGAGAUUUACAUGAUCGUUAACUUUAGGACUCGUAAGAUUAGUCAAGAUGCAUGCAAACUGGACUGGAUACCUACAGGAAUCUAAAAAAAAAUAAUAAUGGAGAUGAAGCAAAAUCUCUGUUUGAUUUUUUCUUUUUUGUGUUUUUGGUACAUUGGUCAACAAUAGCUUGGAAGACUUUGGUAGCAGUAAGUAACCUGUUCUUCCUCAAUAAUGUUAACGCGUGGACCCUGUUGUUGUGGAAACUUUGCAGAGGAUCUUAAUAAAAACAAGUAAAUAGAAAAAUAUUAAUUUUUAAAUAUAAAAACUAGAAAACCUGAUAAUAUUGAAUAAAAAAUAAAAUAAAAAUUUAUUCUUUUCAAGUAGAAAAAAAAUAUAAAAGUUUAACAAUAUUGAAUAGAAAUAAAUAAAAUUUUUAAACUAAAUAAAAAUGAUAGAAAAAAAUAUUUAUUAUCUUAAAAAUUCUUAUAUUAAAAUCUUAAUUUAUCACAUGAACUGAGUCUAUAUGCUAAAAUCAGAAGAAAAAAAAAAACAAAUGUAACAAAAAAAAUUCUACACAACACAAUUAAUUAUAGGAUCGUAUAUUUCGAGACUAAAUUGAGGUUUUUGAAUUAUCUUUAAACAGAACAUGAUUUUAAUAGGUGCACUGUAUAUCCUUUGAAUUUAUUAGAAGUAACGUGUAAUGUAAAGUAUGAACCGCGUACCAUUAACUAGCCUUUUCAAUUGGAUUUUUUAUUUAAAUGAAAAGGAAAUUUUGUUUUAUUAUGAAAAUAAUAUUUAUUUUUUGAUAUAUCUAAUAAUAAUAAAAUAGAAAGUAGAUUGAAUAAAUGAUAUCAGUUCCUAUUAUGAUAUAUCUAGUAAAAGAAUAGAAUGAAUUAAAAUAUUCUUAAUAAAUAUAAAAGAUGGGGAAAUUACAUCACACGAAACUACCAAUAAGCAAAUUUUAAUCUGUAAUUAUGUAGGUCUUAAUUACAAGGGUUUUAAUUUAGGAAGUAUAUUAAAAAAUAAUAUAAAUUAUAUUCUAGAAUUUAUUUUAAUAGUUUAAAUUUUGAGAUGAAUUAAUAAGUCUUUACAAAUAAAAGAUAUAGUUUUACAAUAAAAUGCAUUUUUAGAAAUGAAAUUAUAUUAAAUUAAGCGUGCUCGAGAUUGUUCAAAUUAUUAAUUAAUUAUAAUUAACUUUAUGUCUUUAGAGGAAACAAAAGGGAAGGACAAAAUUAUUUUCCCCUCAACGAUAGACCUAGCCCACUUUCCAAACAAAAGGUAAAUAGAAUGAUGGUCUCAUAAAUUGCUUUUUUUCUUUCUAGCUCGUCAAGCAGUUUGGUCUCCCUCACUGGAAAAUCUCCUUUUUCCCUGCCUCUGUGCACGUAGGGGAAGAAGGAGAAUAGUAUCGUUCAAAAUAUCACUGUUUUGAAAUUUUUUUUGAAAAAAAUAAAAUGAAUUUAGGAAUAAUUUAAAAAUAGAUUAUGAUAUUUUCCAUCACUUUUUCUUAUCAUCAACUUCAAUAUGUUGCUUCUUUUUUAAAGGUUUAACACUAGAAAGCCUUUUUUUUGUUUCAUUCUUCAAAUCUUAAUAACAAACGUAUGUAAUAGACAAUUGAUAGUGAAAUGAAAAGGUUAAGGAAGAUGAAAUUGUAAGAAAAGAAAAUAAAUUUAAAAUAUUAUUAUGAAAAAAACAAAAAACAAUAAAAAAUAUGGACCAAAACUUAAAGAUAAAAAAAUUAAAGGUAAAAUUGAAAAAUAAUUCUAGUUUUAUAAAUUAUUAAAAAAAGAUUUCAAAUAUUUAAUGAUGAAAUCGAAAAAUAUUAACUUUAAAAAUUAGCCAGAAAAAUUCAAUAAAUAAUAAAAAAACAAACUCAAGAAAAUCUAAAUCAUUUAUAAAAUUAGUAAAAACUUCCACACUAAGUAAACAAAUAAAAACAAAACAAAUAGAAACAAGGAAGUAAAGUCUGUAAUUAAAUAUAUACGCGGAGACAAAAACAUGGGCAUGUGACAGGAGACAAAAGGGCAAAGGAAGGUCUCUAUCCAACUUCCUUUUCCUUUUUCUUAGAAAAAAAGUGACAAAAUCUGAUAGAACACAGAUUCCAUCUCUUUUUCAUUGGUUUUUUUGUUUUUUUAAUGUUUAUGCAUGUGGCUCAACCUUUCUCAGUAAUUGCAACAUGUUUCUUUGUUGAAUAAACUGCAAUACUGGUCUCCCUCACUGGACCCCUUUAUAAUGAGAAUCACACUAGGAAAUUUAAAAGUAAUUUGAAGUAUUAUUAAAGCCUAUAAAAAUAAAACUGAUAAUAAUAUAGUUGGGAUUUUAAAAAAAAAAUUGAUAAAAAACCAUAUAAAAAGAAAUUUGAAACAAAGUAAUCUUAAAAAACCAAAACAAACAUGCCAUGAAAACAAAUUUAAAAUAAACAAAAUACUUUAAAAAAAAAUAAUUCAACCAUUUCUUCAUAAAAAAAACAGUAAUUGGGUGUUACUUUAUGGUCAAAAAGUACAAUAAUGCAAAAAAAAAAAAAAAAAGAGUUUUAGGAUAUUGAUUUUAUUAUUUGUUAGGUAACUAUGUAAUCUAUACGUUGAUGUGGAAAAUAGGACUAAGUUUUUUUGUCAAAAGAGUAACUGUGUAAUCUAAUAUUCAUCUCUCAAAUCCCUAAUCCAAUUGAUCAUAUAAUUAAAUAAUUGUUUUAAUUAAUAACUAUAAGAAACAAACUCCCUUGUUAGUUCAUUACUUAAAUAAAAACUCAUGAUUGUCUAGCAAAGUAAAUAAAUUACUUAACCGGAUCACCAGAGGAGUUAUUUGCCAAAAUAAAAACUCAUGAUUGAGUUAUAUAACAGUUUAUAAAUCAUGCUAUCAUCUCCAUCACCAUAUAUAAAGCUAGACAAAAUAGGAUAAGACGGGAUUAAAUUUAAUUUUAGGAUAUAUUUGAGAAUAUGAUUGAAUCAUGCUUUUUAAAAUGUUUUUGAAUUAUUUUAAUAUGUUGAUGUCAAAAAUAAAUUUUAAAAAAUAUUAUUUUAAUAUAUUUAUAAUAAAAAAAUAUAUUUUAUAAAGCAAUUUUCACCAUAUUUUCAAAUAAAUUAAAAUUUUUCAAAUAAAUGGAUUGAUAUAUCGAUGACACUCUCUAGUCAGUUUUGAGAAUUUUGAAUCCAAACAAGUGAAUUUAUAUGCAUGCUUGUACAACUUGAUUUUCUCUUUAAUUUAAUCAACAAUAAUUUCUCAUACUCAAUAGAAAUUUGGGUUUAUCAUUAGGGUAAGACAACCUGUAUUUUAAAAUACUAUUGCCAAAAGAUCAUAUUAUUUAUUACCACAAGAAAGGACCAAAGUUAAUAAAUAAUAGCAUGCACGAAACUUCGUGAUACCCAUGUUUUCCACGUUUAAUAGAGUGUUACAGUAAAAGCACAGAGAGAAGAACGGUUCAAGACAGAACAAUAAUGUUAACGCGUGGACCCCAUUUGCUGUUUUUUCCUCUACGUGUUACCUUUUACCUCUUUUACCUCUUUUAUAAUUAUGAUUAUUGCAUUGCUAAUAAUUUCCAAGAAAGAUGAUGAACUUUUUUUAGUGAAUUCAAAAUAAACAAAAUAAGGUUUGUUGAGGCUUUUCUUGGAACCUCGCUCUGGGAUUAAUUAGCGAGAAUAAGAAAAUCCUGUGUAAAUUAUACAAAUUUCCUUGCUUUUUUUUUCCUGCAUGUGUUACAUUUUUAUCUUUUAUAAUUAUAAUUAUUGCAUUGCUAAUAAUUUGCAAGAAAGAAUAUUGUUUCUCUGAAAAGAAGUCUGAAUGUUUUUAGAAAGAAGCAGUCUUCAUUGCUUUUCAAAACCAAUCUCUGGAUCUAUUAACAAAAACUCUAAAUCGCGAGUAAUAGACACAAUUAAUUAUGCAUUGCUGUAAUAAAAUCACGUAUUUAUUUUCAAGUGGGAAAAAAUUAAGCCAUGAGGCCAGGGGUUCUUUGGUCUUUACCUAUUUUCGUUUUGGCCACCGAAUUUUAUUUUUUUUUCAAUAAAAGAGAAGGUUUUGUGUAAUUAUCAGAUAAUUGAAAUCAUCACUAACUCCUUUGUUCAUUUUCAUCUUUUUUUAUUACCCUUAGCAUGAUACACAGAAAAGAAGAACGGUCAAGAGAGAAGAAUAAUGGAGAUUACUGUGGAGAUGACGAAUCAAAAUCUUUGCUUGAUUUUCUGUUGUGUUUUUGGCACAUUGAUCAACAAUAGCUUGGAAGAGUUCGAUAGCAGAGGAAGAAAAAUAAUAGCAGUAACCUUUUCCACCUCAAUAAUGUUAACGCGUGGACCCAGUUGUCGUGGAAACUUUGCAGAGGAAGAAAAAUAAUAGCAGUGACCUUUUCUACCUAAUAAUUUGCAAGAGAGAAUUCUUUCUCUGAAUAUAUAGAAAAAAACUAUUAUUUUUUAAUAAAAACAACUAUAUAGAAAAAUUAUUACUUUUUAGGUAGAAAAACCUCAUGAUAUUGAAUAAAAAAAUGAAAUAGAAAAAUUAUUCUUUUCAAGUAGAAAAAAAUAUAAAAGUUUAGUAAUAUUGAAUAGAAAUAAAUAUUAAAAUUUCUAAACUAAAUAAAAAUAACAGAGAAAAAUAUAUAUUAUCCUAAAAGUUCUUAUAUUAAAAUAUUAAAAAGAACUGAGUUUACAUGCUUUAAACAGAAAAACAAUAAAAAAAACAAAUGUAACAAGAAAAAUUCCACGCAACAUAAUAUAUAUGAUAUAAAUUGAGGUUUUUAAAUUACCUAUAAACAUAUCAUAAUAUAUAUGGUACAUCCUUUGAAUUUAUUAGAAAGAAGCCAUUAACUAGCCUUUUCAAUUGGAUCUUUUAUUUAAAAGAAAAGGAAUAUUUAUUUUAAUAUGAAAAAAAUAUGUAUUUUUUAUAUAUAUCUAGUGAUAAUAAAUUAGAGGAUAGUAACAAGAAAAUAGAAAUUAGAUCAAAUAAAUGAUACCAAUUUUUAUUCUGAUAUAUCUAGCUAAAGAAUAGAAUGAAUUAAAACAUUCUUAAUAAAAAAAAAACAGAAAGAAAUAAAAAAAUAUUCUUAAUAAAUAUAAAAGAUAGGUGAAAUCAGAGAACAAGAAAGAAAUAUAGAAUCUCUUUCUAAGAUUUCUUGUUCCCUUUCCCUUCUUUACACGGCCUCCUCAAUGAAAAAGCAAACACCCCAUUUGAUUUUCAUUCAGUAUGAGAGUGAGAAUGAGAAUGAGAAUGAGAGAGAGGUAAUUUCGACUAUACAUAGAACUCGACAGGACAGAAGACUUAAAGAUAAAAUAGCUUUGAUUUACAACCAUGGCUUCAAGGGCCUGGAAUAGGACCAGGUACAAGUUUGUUUCUAUCUAAGAAAGCAAGAAGCUCCCACUAAUGCAUGCUCUCAACAAACUACCCCCAAUUUCGCCACUACAGCUCAAGUAGCUUUGAGUCAUUCCAACAAGUAGGAAUUGAAUUCAAAGGAAUAAAUCAUUAAAUGCGGAGUUGGUGUUCUCCUGUUUGUGGUUCUGAUAAAUGUAAGAACGGACAGAGAGAAGAAAUAGGAAAAAUCCAUGUAUCUAUUAGUUGGCAGCAGUUAUCAUUCGGCCCUUGCCGCCCACGAAAUCCCUUUAUCCUGCUGUUAAUUUUUUUAAAGACGCGUAUCAGGUGUUUGAUAAAAUUCCUCAACUGGAAAAAAAAACCAUGUUUAGAAUGCUUGAGUCCUUUACAAGUGGAAAGUGGGAACUAUCCACUUUCCCAUUUGAAAUCAUCACUAACUCCUUUGUUCAUUUUCUUCUUUUUUUAUUACCCUUAGCAUGAUACACAGAAAAGAAGAACGCGUGGUUCAAGAGAGAACAAUAAUGGAGGGGAAUCAAAAUCUUUGUUUGAUUUUAUGUUGUGUUUUUGGUACAUUGAUCAACAAUAGCUUGGAAGAGCUUGAUAGCAAUAACCUUUUCGACCUCAAUAAUUAAUGUUAAUGCGUGGAUCCAGUUGUUAUGGAAACUUUGCAAAGGAUCUGCAGGAAGAAAAAUGAAAAGCUUUUCGAACCUACAAUAUAGAGAGAGAAAUAAAUAAAUAAAAAGCUUUUCAAAACCAAUCUCAUGCCAAAUUGGUUUGUCUGUCCAGUACUUGAGCUUGCACACUUCGUUUAUAUUCAAACAAUAUUCUUCCGUUGCUUUUAUUCUUUACAAUAAUGUGAUAGGAAUAACAUUAAUAUUAUUAUAAAGAAAAAACUCCACCCACUUUGAAACACCUUUGAUGUGUUGAUUGAAAUUGACAAGUGAGUUUACUCACAUGUUGUUAUAUUGGUUUUGAGUUCAAAUAUGGAGAUUUUAUGAUUUAUUCACAUGAAUGCAUUCAUUUAUUCACCUAUUAACUAAAUCAUGUAUUCAAUAUGAAUGAUGGGAGAUUUUUAAUGUCUUCUGAAUACAUUCAUUUAUAUAUGAAAAUAAUUUAUGUGUGUGUAUAAGGUUAUUGAAAUGAAGAUUAUUAUCCUCCAGCUCAUCAUCAGAUCACACGAAAGGAACGCAGAAAGACAUUCCCUUUCUUGUCAUAAAGUUUUGAAUAGAAUGCCCAUCAAAAAGUACUUUCGUGCAUUAUUGUCAUAAAGUUUUUCAAACUUCCAAUAUAGAGAGAGAAAUUAAAAAAAAAAAAAAAGCAAAAGGAAACAACCCCCACCUCAUCUUUCUUGUUCCCUUUUCCUUCUUUACAUGGCUUACUCAAUGAAAAAGCAAGCACUAAGGCACCUUCUCCACAAACUACCCCCCAAUUUCGCCACUAUAUAAAUAUUAUGGAAAACAAGAUAAAAAGAAAUCUUUUGGUACAUAUAUAAAUAUAUUAUGGAAAUUAACAUGGUAUCAGAGUAUCUGUGAACUAUUGCUGGGAUUGGGAAGUCAUAAUUUUUGACACGCCUAAUCACAGUCUUUUUUGGAAAAAGAAGAAGAAGCCAGGCUAUGAAAAUAGGUUUCUGGAAAUUUACAUCAUUUGAUUUUGACAAUUGCAUGGAAAUGGUCUUCUUAGUUUGCCGUGUGGAAAAUCAUGUCAUUUACGGGACUGCUGGACAGAGUGUCUAUUGAUAAUUUUACCUUCUUUUAAAAUCUUUGACACUACUUGCAUUGACUGGUAAUUUCGCUCGAAAAUUUCUAGUAAUUUAUAAAGGAAAUUUUUACUGUAUAUGAAUUGAAAAACUAUUAUUGACUGACUUCUUGCAAAGUAUUUGUAAAAAAGCUAAAGAAUUUAAGUCUUUUAAUUUUUAAAAUUAUAAUUUGUUGAGGCUUAUCUUGGAACCUCGCUUUGGGAUUAAUUAGCGAGAAUAAGAAAAUCCUAUGCAAAUUAUACAAAAUUUAUUAUUAAUCAUCUAUAUUUAUUAUUGAUCAUCAAUAUUGAAUAAUGGCUUAUUUUCUAGUAUAAACAAUGUUUGAAAUAAAAUUGAUAAAAGAUAGUAUACAUAAUUAUUAAUGAUGGGAUUGUUUAUAAAAAUGACUAAAUUAAGGUUUUUUAAUUAUCUUUUAACAUUUUAUGAUUUUAAUAGAUGGGCUGUACAUCAUGUAAAUUAUAAAAGAAUAUUUAUUUUUCUGAUAUAAUAAUAAUAAUAAUUAUAAUAACAAUAAUAAUAAUAAAUUAGAUGAUACUAACGAGAAAAUAGGAAUUAGUUUGAAUAAAUGAUACCAGUUCCCAUGAUGAUAUAUCUAAAGUCCUAAACUUCAAGAAUUUCUCUUCUUUAUCUUUUGUAUUUUCUCAUUUUCUUGGCAUGCGCGCAGCUGCUUCAUGGAAAAAACGUUUCAGAUGCGGAAAAUAAAAGCGGAAAAAAAAAUCCCAAAUAUCAGCAAACAUCACAAGAGAAGCUUGAUCUCAACAAGAUGUUGCAGUCCACAGUCUUUCCAUUACAUUAUAAUUACUUCUAAAAAAAAUUAAUUUAAUUUUUAAUUAUAAGCCAUCAGCAACUACCUCAAAAUUACCACUCUGAAUUCCAGCUCAAUAUCGAUUAACAUGUGGCUACAGAAUUUGAAUUAAGUUCAAUUAUACAAAAUCCUGUGCAAAUUAUACAAAAUCCUGUGCAAAUUAUACAAAAUCCUGCUUUAAGUUCUUGGAACCUAGCUCUGAGAUUAAUUAGCGAGGAUAAGAAAAUUCAGUGCAAAUUAUAUAAAAUUUAUUAUUAAUUAUCGAUGUUCAAGAUUUUCUUAAAUGUUAUUUUAUUUUCAUUAUUAUUUAUAAAAAUCCAAAAAAAUUAAGAAAAAGUUUAAAAAUUCAAAAAUAUAUUUUUCUCGAGUCAAUCACAUUUUUCCAUCAAAACCAAGUCCACCGGGUCAAACCAUGUCGACUAGGGUAAAAAAUGAGUUUCGGGUCAAAACCGUCAUUUCCGACCAAAACCGAGCUCACCGGGUCAAUACGGGUCAAACCAUGUCGACCAGGGUAAAAAAUAAGUUUCGGGUCAAAACCGUCAUUUCCGACCAAAACCGAGCUCACCGGGUCAGGACGGGUCAAACCAUGUCGACCAGGGUAAAAAAUGAGUUUCGGGUUGUUUCGGGUCAAAACCGUCAUUUCCGACCAAAACCGAGUCAUUAGGUCAGUACGGGUCAAACCAUGUCGACCAGGGUAAAAAAUGAGUUUCGGGUUGUUUCGGGUCAAAAACUGUUAUUUUCGACCACAACCCGGUUCACCGGGUUGAUACCCAUCAAAUGUUUUUUUUGAUAUUCUAUUUCUUUUUUUGCGGUUGAAACCGGCUUUUUCUAAUACUAAUUUGAAUUUUUAAUUUUACCUAUAUAAAUAUUUAUUAUUAUAUAUAAUAAAACAAAAUCAAUAAUUCAACAAUUUGUCAGCGGAGCAGUUGAUUUUUUUAUUUAAGGUAGAUGGCAGAAGGGAAAGGAAAACAGAAAGAAAGAAAGAAAGAAAGAGAGAAGAGUGUACUAUUCAUAUCUUUUUUAGUUUUUCUUCAUGAGAGUAGGAUAUUGUUUUUUUUUAAAAACAAUAUGGAAAAUAUCAAACAUAUCCCAACCACUGGAUUCAAUAGUGUUAGUUCUGGGCCUUUAAUUUAAUAGGAUACAAUAGGACUUACCACACUAGAUUAAAACCCAAACACAUCUCAGCCCUUGAAAUAAUCUAAGCUUUGAUCCCGUUGCCCCACGUCACCCGGUGUACUGAGAUUUCGGUGCACCGCGUCACACCAGGUCAAACAUCUGCUCAUCCAGACCGUCCGAUCAACCUGCAGAUCGAGCCAAUCACAACCACACGAUCUUUUCAUCAGAGAUCCAACAGAUCACAGGCUUAAGUUGCACCGGUGUAUAGUGCUAGCGCUCACACCGUAGUAUAACCCAAAGCCUCUCUCUCCUAUCGCCGGCGACUCUCUCUCUCCUCCGAUCUCCCAUCUCCGGCUGUAUAAAGCCUCCAAACUACCACAGAAAGGUCGCCAACCUCCUACAAAGCAAAACACCGGCCUUUUUCAGCGUUUUCUCCGCCUUAUCUGGCCGCAAAAAGGCCGCGAUCGUCGCUGGCCAGCGACGCUUCAAGUCGUCGAUUCUCACUCAUCAGCCAUCAACGACCGUCAAGACCACCACCAUCAGAAUCCUCGACAUCAGAUCUACCAGGAUCGACCAUCGGUUGGACAGAAAUCUCACCGGAAAAUCUCGCCGCCGCCAACAGUAACCGCACGUGAGACACGCGCCACCAGUGGCAUUUUCGUAAUUUUUCAAGAAAUCCGAGGGUAUUUAAGUCUUUUACCUGGCACUCAUGUAUUUUUUUUAUCUAACAUUUUUUUAUUUUGUAUAAAAAUUUUCUUGCAUGUAGAAAAAAAAUAAAAAAAAAAUAAAUAUAAAAAACGACGUGGGUCCAACACCCAUCUUAUCAUAUUAUUGGUCGUGGGUGCAAAGCCCAACCUCUCAAGAAUAGUUAUACCUAUUUUUAAUGACAUCAAAAUAUUUGUUUUUAUAAAUAAAUAUUAUUUGUUGACACGUCUCUUUUUAUAGAAAAGGACCGAUGUCAAAAAAAGUUUAAAUACCAAACAAAUAUGGAUUAUGUUUAUAAUUUUGUUUUUUUUGUAAAUCAGACGUAAAUCUCCUUUUUAGGAUUAGACAUCGAUAUUUUAGACGAGUCUUCUAUUUUUAAGGACUGAUGUCAUUUUUAAUGUGUCUCUUAUUUUUAAGGACCGACGUUAACCAUUUUAAAAAAAUAAUAAAAUUACAAAUAAGCUCAAAAUACAAUAUCAUUUGAAACAAAAAAAAAACACAAGUAAAGAUAACUUUUCUUUUGAAAUGAUAAUUUAAGGGUGAUGUCUACCUUCCCUUAAUCAUAACUAACCCAGUACCUAAAUCUCUGGGACCAGUGUCUAAUUUGGGAUUUUUAGUUCCCUCAUAUUACUAGAUGGCGACUCCAAUAAAAUCUUAAUUUCCCCAAUAAAAAAUCUCUUUUUAUUAAAUAAACAAAAAAAGCGGAGCCAACAAAAAAAAUAGAGCCGUCGCCCGACAUUGUGUAUAAGUUUAUAUAAGCUUAUUUGAACUCGUACACGUUAAAGAAUAGUAUUGACCUUGAUAUUAGUUAUAAAUAAAUUGGUUUUUCAGGAAGAUAUUGUUUUAGGUUUAUUUCUUUAUUUAAGCUUGUUGAAUUCUAGGCCUUAUAUGAUAUUAGUUGAUGUGAUUUGGAUUUAUUUUUAAGUUAAUUUGUGUGUGGGUAGUAAUAAGUGUAUAUGAAUAUGAAUUGAAGUAAGUACCUUAACAAAUGUGAUGGGUUGGUGUGAAGCUUUGAUUAAUUGCUAUAUUUUGAUGUCAUGAGCAAAUACCUUAACAAAUUUGAAUAUUUGAAAGAUAAUAAAUAAAUAUUGAAGAAUUGUAUAGAAAGAAUCGUAUCGAAAUUAUGGAAAAUAUGAUUUUGUCCUGAAAUUCUAAAAAACAAUUAUAGUUUGGUCACUGGUUGUAAAUAAUAAAUUUUAAAAUAUUUUUUGAUAAAUAUUGAUGAUUUAUUAUCAAUUUUUAUUGUUAUCAUUUAAAUUUAAAAUUAAAUAUAUUCUGUAUUUAAAUGUGUUUCGUUUCUUUGGAAACUGCAUGUGUUGGGAAAACUAGGGACAACUAACCGGAUCAAUUCAGCGGAAUACAAUUCACAAUUCACAAGUCCCAAUCAUUUUUCCCUCUUUGUGCAGUAAAAACAGAAUCAAACAAUGAACAAAUAUAAUGCAACAAUCACACAAAUCAACGCCAAGAUUUUUACGUGGAAAACCCGAUGCGAGAAAAACCACGGGACCGGAGUCCACCUAAAAACUUCCACUAUCACAAAUAAUGGGUUCACAAUUGUUCUUCCUCAGAUUCAACUAAGGGCUACAACAUAUAUAUAUCAUCAAGAACAACUUAUUCUCGGAUUACAACAAGAUUAAAGAGAGUAAUGUUAGAGAAAAGCUCACAACACUGACAGCCCUGUUUUCUGUCAAAACGACCAGCUUCCACACCACCAAUCUUCAAUCCAACCGUUCAGAAUGAAGAGGAACGUGUCUAGAAGUUUCUGUCAAAAUCUCAGCCCGAUCCAACGGUGAAACAACUGGAAAAUGAAGAAAGAAGACAGACUGCUCUGCUGCCUCCUCUUCUUUCUUUCUCUCGGUUUUCUUCUCCUCUCUUCUCAAAUUUUCUACUACUAUCUACAGUAACCGUUUCAUUUAAUUUAAACCAAAGAGGCAGCCAGCUGCCUCCUUAAUUAAUGUGGUGGUCCCCCAUCACAUGGUGCGGGACCACACAACAGUAUGCUAGAGUCUCUCAAUAUAUUAAAAGGGCUAACUAUAAGGUAAAAUAAUGAUCAGUUUUAGUUAGCUCCUGCGGGACUUUGCAUUCUAUAAUUUAUGCUAUGCAUUCUAUAACCCUUGGCCCUCUAAAUUACCCAAAAAGGACAAUAAUUGAGCUUGGUGAUCUAAGAGCACAAGUGGUACAGUUCUCAAUCGAAUUUUAGCAAAAUCAAGGAUCCAAGAAAUGGCCUCUGUAACAUGGUAGCUAUGAUUUGAAACAAAUGUAGCUAUGUUUUCUCCUUUUAUUAUAAAAAAUUAAUAUUCAUGGAUUAAUUUUCAUAUAAUUUAAGAAAGCAAGUACUUUAAUCAAAUUUUACAUUGACCAUCCUCAAUGUGUUUAAAGUAAAUGUUAAUUACCAAGCUGUUGCAAUUAAACCUGACCGGCCCGGUAGGUUUACUGUUACCUUUUACCUUUUAUAAUUAUGAUUAUUGCCUUGAAUAUAUUAUUUGAUUAGUCCAUUUAUAGGUUGACUCUACUAUUCCUGCCUUGCAUUGACAGUAAAUUUCACUAGAAAUUUCAAGUAAUUUACACAGGAAAUUUCCUGGUGAUAAACCUGGAAUCUGAUUUUCAACUUUCGUAGGCACUAAAGUCCCAAACUUCAAGAAUUUCAGAAUAUCAAUUCAACCGUACUCCAAAGAACACUCAUACUCCAAUAUCAGCAACGACCACGAAAGUUACCACUCUAAAUUCCAGCUCAAUAAUUUGUUCUUUGACAAUUAUUGCAUUGCUAAUAAUUUGCAAGGAAACAUACUUUUAACUACAAGAGUCUGUUUGAUAUUUUUCCAACUUUUACUGUUUCACUUCAAAGUUUCAAUAAUUGUUUUUUCAUUACAUAUUCUUUCCAACGUGUAAUAAUUCGGAACCACUCGCAAUAAAUAAAGCCAGCAAAGGCAGAUGUGUUUGUCUAUAUAUACAUGAACCUGCUGAUUCGAUUUGAACACCCCAUUUCUCCGAUUCAAUAACUUCAGUUGCAAAACUUCUCUCUCCGAUUGCUGCAAUUUCAUAGCUAACUCUUUGUUAUACACAGGUAUAUAUGGCUAACUCUUCUUAGCUUCUUUCUUGUUUUAAUUUCAUGUCUCUACCAUUAACAAUAAUGUGAAAGCUUUGCUUGUUUCAUGUUUAACUUCAGUUGCUAUUGUCCUAUGCUUUCUCAUUAUUAAGCUUAAAUUGCUAAUUGAUUGUUCCUUAAAUUCUGCAGCUGAAAUGAGAGAGUCAGAGUCUUCUCGUUCUAUACCAGAAGGGGCCUAUGAUGUCUUCUUGAGUUUUAGAGGAGAAGAAACUCGCAAGACGUUUACUGGUCAUCUAUAUGCUGCCUUAGAUGAAGCAGGAAUCCACACUUUUCUAGAUGAUGUUGAACUUCCUAGAGGAGAAGAAAUCUCCGAGCAUCUUCUCAAGGCAAUUCGAGAAUCAAAGAUAUCCAUAGUUGUCUUCUCAAAAGGAUAUGCUUCUUCUAGAUGGUGUCUCAAUGAACUUGUAGAGAUUCUAAAGUGCAAAAGGAAGAAAACCGGUCAGAUUGUUCUUCCUAUAUUCUAUGACAUUGAUCCUUCAGAUGUGAGAAAACAGACUGGCAGUUUUGCAGAGGCAUUUGAUAAGCAUGAAGAGCGUUUUGAAGAGGAGUUGGUGAAGGAGUGGAGAAAAGCUCUUGAGGAUGCCGGAAACCUAUCUGGAUGGAGUCUCAAUGAUAUGGCAUAUGGGUAUUCCUUUUCUCUCUAAGAUUCACUUGCAGACGUUUAUGGAGUAAUUUUACAUUACAUUUUUCAAUGUGAAGUUAUAAAAUAUUUCUUUUUAGCAUACUUAAUUGACUUGCUAUCGAUGACUUGCCUUUUUUUCUGUGAGCAGGCAUGAAGCAAAAUUUAUCAGAGGUUCCUGAGCACCUCGUAGGUAUGGAUCGGUGUACUCACAAUAUUUAUGACUUUCUAAGUAAUGCAACAGAUGAUGUACGCAUUGUGGGCAUACAUGGGAUGCCAGGAAUAGGAAAGACAACUAUAGCAAAAGUUGUAUUUAAUCAACUCUGCAAUGGAUUCGAUGGAAGCUGUUUUCUUUCGGAUAUCAAUGAAAGGUCAAAACAAGUUAAUGGUCUGGCUCUUCUACAAAAGCGACUUCUUCACGAUAUUUUAAAACAAGAUGCUGCAAACUUCGAUUGUGUUGAUAGAGGAAAGGUUCUAAUCAAAGAGCGACUUUGUCGCAAAAGAGUUCUUGUUGUUGCUGAUGAUGUUGCUCAUCAGGACCAGCUAAAAGCUCUGAUGGGAGAUCGAAGUUGGUUUGGUCCCGGAAGUAGAGUAAUUAUUACAACAAGAAAUUCAAAUCUUCUUCGUAAAGCGGAUCGAACAUAUCAAAUUGAAGAAUUGACAAGAGAUCAGUCCCUUCAGCUUUUCAGCUGGCAUGCCUUUGAGGACACCAAGCCAGCAGAAGAUUAUAUUGAGCUUUCAAAGAAAGCAGUUGAUUACUGUGGAGGACUUCCUUUAGCUCUUGAUGUUAUGGGUGCUUGUCUGUCCGGGAAAAACAGAGAUGGUUGGAAAUCUGUAAUUGACAAAUUGAAAAGAAUUCCAAACCACGAUAUUCAAAGAAAGCUUAGAAUAAGUUAUGACUUACUGGACGGUGAAGAACUAAAAAAUGCAUUCCUUGAUAUCGCAUGCUUCUUUAUUGAUAGAAAGAAAGAGUACAUCGCAAAACUGCUAGGAGCCCGUUGCGGUUACAAUCCAGAAGUUGAUUUGCAAACUCUCCAUGAAAGGUCUCUGAUUAAAGUAUUGGGAGAGACGGUAACCAUGCAUGAUCUAUUACGAGACAUGGGAAGGGAGGUCGUUCGUGAAUCGCCUCCAAAAGAACCUGGAAAGAGGACCAGAAUUUGGAAUCAAGAGGAUGCAUGGAAUGUCCUUCAGCAGCAGAAGGUAAGAGCUCAAUGCAUACAUGAAAGCAUAGUCAAACUUAUUACAUAUAAUUGAAUGAAAGUUGUAUUGAUUUUAUUUUUUUAGGGUACGGAAGUUGUAGAGGGUCUUAAACUGGAUGUCAGAGCAUCAGAAACUAAAUCACUGAGCACAGGAUCAUUUGCAAAAAUGAAAGGCUUAAAUUUACUCCAAAUCAACGGAGCACAUCUCACCGGAUCCUUCAAAUUGCUUUCUAAAGAGUUGAUGUGGAUUUGUUGGCAUGAAUUUCCUUUGAAAUAUUUUCCAUCUGAUUUUACUUUGGACAAUCUAGCUGUUCUUGAUAUGCAGUACAGUAACCUCAAAGAAUUAUGGAAGGGAAAAAAGGUGAGAAACAUGCUGCAAUCCCCAAAAUUUGUCCAGUAUGUAAUUUAUAUUUACAUGUUAUGACUUUCUAUGAUUAAUUUUCAUUAUUUUUCUCUCUAUUAUAACAGAUUCUCGACAAGCUUAAAAUUCUUAAUCUCAGUCAUUCUCAGCACCUUCUUAAAACACCAAACUUACACAGUUCAAGUCUAGAGAAACUAAUUCUGAAAGGUUGCUCGAGUUUAGUUGAGGUGCAUCAAUCAAUUGAAAAUUUGACGAGCCUUGUUUUCUUGAAUCUGAAGGGAUGUUGGAGUCUGAAGACUCUCCCUGAAAGCAUUGACAAUGUAAAAUAUCUUGAAACUCUGAAUAUAUCUGGGUGUUCACAACUUGAGAAAUUGCCGGAACGCAUGGGUGAUAUGGAAUCCUUAACCGAGCUGCUAGCUGAUGGGAUUGAAAAUGAGAAAUGUCUCUCUUCAAUUGGACAAUUUAAGCAUGUCAGAAGGUUAUCAUUGCGUCGAAAUAGUUCGGCUCCACCAAGUUCUUCUUUGAUUUCAAUAGGUGUUUUGAAUUGGAAACGUUGGCCGCCAGCAUCUUUCAUUGAAUGGAUAUUAGUGAAACAUCUUGAGCUUUCUAAUAGUGGUUUGUCUGAUCGCGCAACUAACUGUGUUGAUUUCAGUGGUUUGUCUGCUCUAGAAAAAUUGGAUCUAGAUGGAAACAAAUUCUCUAGGCUGCCUUCUGGGAUCGGCUUCCUUCUCAAGCUAAGGGAUUUGUCUGUUGAGGGAUGCAAAUAUCUUGUAUCAAUCCCAGAUCUUCCCUCAAGUUUAACGCGUUUGGGUGCAUCUUAUUGCAAAUCAUUGAAAAGAGUAAGAAUACCAAGCGAGCCAAAAAAAGAACUAUAUAUAUUCCUAGAUGAAAGUCAUUCGUUAGAAGAGUUUCAGGACAUUGAAGGUCUAAGUAAUAGUUUCUGGUAUAUUCGUGUUGAUGACCGCAGUCAUUCACCAAGUAAAUUACAGAAGAGCGUUGUUGAGGUACUAUUUCUUUCUGUCUCUCUUUCGCACAAAAAGAAACACACAUAAUUGGCACAUACAUUGAUUAAUGUCUAAGAUCCUAGCAUUUCUUGAAAUCAAUAUGUAUACAGGCAAUAAUCAUUAUUAUUAUUAUUUUAUUUUAAAAAAUAAGUAUCAUCUUUAAUAAUAUUUUUUAUUUUUCUUAUUUAAUCUAAAAAAUUAAAUAUUAUCUUUAAUAAUAUGUUUUUAUUAAAUAUUUAAAGUCUGAUUGGUUUUAUUUUUUAUUUCUUGAUUUUAUGAUAAUAUAUUUAUACAGGCAAUGUGCAACGGUCGUCACGGGUAUUUUAUUCGCCACACUCCUGGUCAGAUGCCAAAUUGGAUGAGCUACAGGGGAGAAGGACGCUCAUUGUCAUUCCAUAUACCUCCAGUCUUCCAAGGCUUAGUUGUUUGGGUUGAUAAGGAUGAUAAGGAUGCUCACAUUAUUAUUAUUAUAAGAAAUAAUAGAAAUGGUAAUCUCUUGUUUCAAUGUACGAAAUGGUAUUAUCAUCCAAAAACUGGAAGUAUAAGAUACAUAAGAAGAAGUGAAAUGGCAAUGGAAGAUUACUGUGCAGAUGACGAAUUGGAACUAUACAUUUAUUCAAAGCCAUCACCGUUGGCAAUGGCAAUGGCAAUGAAGGAUGCUGUGAUGCCUUCAUUUGAACCGUCUACACCUAAGCAAUGUGGGGUCCAUGUGAUCGUAGGAAAGUCAGAUUCAUUUGAAGAGUUGGCAGUGGGAAGAGAUGCAGUGAUGCUUCCUCAUCCUCGUUGUGGUUCGAUUACAGCGUCUACAC
rnacentral:lncRNA from 1 species